rnacentral:rRNA from 1 species
CAAUAGCGUAUAUUAAAGUUGUUGCAGUUAAAAAGCUCGUAGUUGAAUUUUUGCUUGCCGCAGAUGUCGGAACUUCCGUACGUUCGGCGGCGUGCAUCCUUGGGUGGAACCUGUGUGGCAUUAGGUUGUCGUGCAGGGGAUGCUCAUCGUUUACUGUGAAAAAAUUAGAGUGUUCAAAGCAGGCUUACGCCGUUGAAUAUAUUAGCAUGGAAUAAUAAGAUAGGACCUUGGUACUAUUUUGUUGGUUUGCGCACCGAGGUAAUGAUUAACAGGGACAGUUGGGGGUAUUCGUAUUCCAUUGUCAGAGGUGAAAUUCUUGGAUUUCUGGAAGACGAACUACUGCGAAAGCAUUUACCAAGGAUGUUUUCAUUAA